rnacentral:ncRNA from 16 species
CUGUGUAUAGCUCAGUGGUAGAGCGCUCCCCUAGCAUGGGAGAGGGCUGGGGUUCAAUUCCCCAUACCUCCA